CCGGGGGUAGUUGCUCCUCCCGCCGUGCCCGGCGGGUCAGCUCGAGGAGCCUCUCGGCAGAGAAGCUGAACCUGAGAGAUUUCGGCAGCGGACCCUUUCGGCGCGAAUACACAUUUUGCCUUCAAAUGCAUCUGCAUCUCCAAAUGGCCGGCAUCUUUGUGUUUGACUCCUGAUUUGCCCUGAUGUUUUGUCACUGUGCUUCUCCAGCAUCUGGCUUUCAGGAGAGAAAAGCAGCAGAACAGAACCGAACCUGAGGCCCCUUCACAAGUGAUGAAACAGGUGAUGGUACAUCGUGGCUGAUCAGAACCUUUUUGUUCAUGUUCUUCGAAAGGAAAAAA